AGUUAAAAAAGAAGUAUGUAGUAUUUCUUUCAAACUUUAAAAUCUCAAAUUAGCAGCAUGCUUCAGAAAUACAGCUGAGUAUCUGGUGAGUAGCAGUUGUGUGGAUUAAAAUGUCUUGAUAAUGACAGAAUAAUGGGCAGACUGGUUGGAGAUGACAGAAAGGCAACGAGAGCUCAAAUAAUCACUCUUCACAACCAAAGGGUGAGAAAGUAAGGAAGGGUAAGGUAAUUUUAGUUAUAUAGCACAUUUUCAGCAGCAAGGCAGUUCAAAAUGAUUUACAUGAAU